GUGCGCGAAGCCCUGGGUCCAAUCCUCAGGGCUGCAAAAACGGUGUGUGCUGGGGUAGGACCUGUAGACGGGAUAAAUGAAGGGAGGAGGCCACCCACUGGCCCAACACCGCACUCCCAGCAAAACGUCACCCUUGGAGGAGAGGCCUAUUCCGAAUCUGGGGAGGAACCGCUUCGGGGGACCGGAAGCUGUAACGCGGACAGUCUGUGGGACGGACCGACGUAUCGACAGUUCCGGGCCCAGAAGCUGAUCCCUGCGGCAAACAGAAACGAGGCGCCGGGGACUUCACGUAGGAGCUAAAUUCCUUGACAAGAAUAUCCUUGCAGCGAAACAACACUGAACUGGGAAUUAGAAAGGCUAGGUUCUAGUCCCGAGCGCCAUUAACUAGCGAGAUCAGCAAAAUGAGGCCCAUGGAAAAGAAGUGACAUGCUCAGUCAAUCAACAUAGUAACACCUGAUGGUGUAUGCCACAGCGGGUGUUCCAAGGUUCUUUUGUUGUCGAGUCAGGUACUUUCUUCAUGAUGCUGUGCCUUUUCCAGUUAUCAUUUCUUUUCUUUUUUAAAGAAAUCAUUCAAUAUAUUAACUAUGUCAGGACCAAAAAAUGCAUUUUAAGAAGAUUAUUUGAAAUAUAACAUCUAAUUUUUAAUUUAAUGUCCAAUUAUGUAGCAGAGCUCACUUUCCCAGAACCUCAAUUUCUUUGGUCUUAUCUUGUAACUAUGAUUAUUUCUGAAUAAUUUUAAAGAACAUAUGACAGAAAACAUAAAUAUAUAAAUAAUAUAUGUGAUAUAUGUAAAUACAUUUGUAUAACUGUAAAAUAUAAGCAGAUUGUAAAAAUGCCACAAAACAGUUACAUUUUAAGACAAGGUAAAAGUUUAGAAUUUUGUUUAAGGCAGCUUUAUGUAAUUAACCACAUUGAAAUAUUUCAUUAUUUUUAUUCCUUGUUUUAUAAUGUUGAGUAAUGUUUAAUGAUAUAAAGCAAUCACAAUAUAUUCUUUAAUGGAACAAGUUAUAAAACAUAAUAUGGUUUCAUUUUUGUGAGUAGAAUAGAUAUUAGCACAGAGAAAAGGUUUGAAAAGAUAACACAGUAAGUAGUUAAAAAUGAGGUGCCCUAUUGAGACGAUACUCUUAAGUGAAAUAAAUAGGACACACAUGUGUAAAUACUGAAUAGUUUCUCUAGUGUGAGAAACU